AGGAAGAAACAAACCUGU
rnacentral:piRNA from 1 species